AGGAUCCGAGCGUUAUCCGGAUUUAUUGGGUUUAAAGGGAGCGUAGGCGGACGCUUAAGUCAGUUGAGAAAGUUUGCGGCUCAACCGUAAAAUUGCAGUUGAUACUGGGUGUCUUGAGUACAGUAGAGGCAGGCGGAAUUCGUGGUGUAGCGGUGAAAUGCUUAGAUAUCACGAAGAACUCCGAUUGCGAAGGCAGCCUGCUGGACUGUAACUGACGCUGAUGCUCGAAAGUGUGGGUAUCAAA
rnacentral:rRNA from 1 species